rnacentral:lncRNA from 1 species
UGCCUGCUGCUGCAGGCCAAUGCCAAAAGAAAGGCUUUUGAGUUCUUUACACGCGAAAUGCCUGUUUCUGCAGGCCAAUGCCAAAAGAAGAGCUUUUGAGUUCAAUGCCAAAAGAAAGGCUUUUGAGUUCUUUACACGCGAAAUGCCUGUUUCUGCAGGCCAAUGCCAAAAGAAGAGCUUUUGAGUUCUUUAAACACAAAAUGCCUGCUUCUGCAGGCCAAUGCCAAAAGAAAGGCUUUUGAGUUCUUUAAACGCGAAAUGCCUGUUUCUGCUGGCCACUGCUGCCCUUGGUGACGGAGAUGGUUUGGCGACUUGGUCUGUAGCAGUUCAUGGAUAAAAAAUAAUAAUGCAGGCGGGUGAUGUAGAGACUUGUAGAUUGAUUUUGCUCGAAUUCUUUAUAACAAUGCUUUGGCAGAUCCGUUCCCAGAGAAAUUUACCAAAAGAAGAGCACAACAAGAGAGACGUCCAUCCAGUAAUACAGAAGACCUCAUAAACAACACAAAUCAACCGGAUCCCUAACAGAUAAAGUCAUUUCUCUCCGGUGAUUAGAUAUACAUACACAAAAUCUAAUAUCAACAUUACUGAGGCAAAAGAAGAAAAGACUUUCACUGUCUCUCUGCAUGAUAAUUGUAUGCUGCUUUUGCAAAUCUUGCAUACAAUUUCAUUUUCAGGGAAUACCAUAUAGUUUGGUGACUGCUUCCAAUUAUAUAAGACAACACUACAGAGGACUUUGUUUUGAACUAUGCUGGAGGCUGUUGUAGCAGUGUCUUUUUGUUGCUCUUCCUCUGUGAUCAGCUAGUGUUGAUAAGGCCUAUAAAUACCAGUCUCAAAUGACAGUUGAACAUGGCUGGGCUAGGGUUGAUUACAAUUGGGAUAUCGACAUCACGGGGAUAAAAAGUCAUGAUCCAUACCAUUUUCGUGGCUUAAAAAUCUUCGGCUCCUGUUCACAGAGGCACUGCAAUUUCCUUCCGGGUUCCAUCUCUAAGAAACCAUGAGACAUCUUUGGUCCCAGAAGGCUGGAAAGGCAGGUAAAAAGGCUUAAAGGCUUUAGAGAUGGUCACCAAGCCCUGCUCCACCUGUAAUGAGGAACAUGUCUAGUAGCUAAAACUACUUUUUAGGUAAAGAAUACAUUUUUAGUAGUGGUAGGGUAGUUCUGUAAUUGAUGGACGGACCACGUUGACGGAGUCACUAUGACUUGAUCAGCUCGGCAAAGAUUGGUGGUAGUGGUAGAUUUCUUUCCCUUUCCGAUGGAGAAAAUCGAUGGAGUUGUUAUGGUUAGAUUGAAACUGGCCAUAUGAUAUUGAAGAGCGCCAGGAAAGCUGAUAAUGAUAG